UCCCGGUUAACCCGGGCAGUCUCGCUAGAGUUCCCACCUAAAAUGUUGGCAACUAACGAUAAGGGUUGCGCUCGUUGCGGGACUUAACCCAACACCUCACGGCACGAGCUGACGACAGCCAUGCAGCACCUGUUCAGCAGUCCCGAAGGAAGACUCCAUUUCUGGAGCUGUCUACUGUAUGUCAAGCCUGGGUAAGGUUCUUCGCGUUGCAUCGAAUUAAACCACAUGCUCCACUGCUUGUGCGGGUCCCCGUCAAUUCUUUUGAGUUUCAGCCUUGCGACUGUACUCCCCAGGCGGUAUACUUAACGCGUUAGCUCCGGCACAGCCAGGGUUGAUUCCGGCUACACCAAGUAUACAUCGUUUACGGCAAGGACUAC
rnacentral:misc_RNA from 1 species